UACGGAGGAUGCAAGCGUUAUCCGGAAUGAUUGGGCGUAAAGCGUCCGCAGGUGGCAAUGUAAGUCUGCUGUUAAAGAGUGAGGCUCAACCUCAUAAGAGCAGUGGAAACUACAUAGCUAGAGUACGUUCGGGGCAGAGGGAAUUCCUGGUGUAGCGGUGAAAUGCGUAGAGAUCAGGAAGAACACCGGUGGCGAAAGCGACUUCCUGGACCAGUACCGACGUUCAGGCACGAAAGCGUGGGGAGCAAACAGG
rnacentral:rRNA from 1 species